AUUGUUAUAGUACCGACUGUCCCUAGAGCAAGUGACAAGAGGUUUGGUGGUUGAUACCUGAAGUCCCAAGUUCGAAUCCUAAUUGAUUCACAUUUUCAGCUAAAUUUAUUUCUAAAGGAAUAAACGGAACGGAUAGCAUGCUAUCUAUCUCUAAAAAAAAAAAACAAUUGUUAUAGCUUAAUUACUAUAUGGAAUGGAUAUGUUUAUAAUAAA
rnacentral:lncRNA from 1 species